AGGUCGGACAGCGCAGGACCCUUGCGAAGGGUCCAGAGCGCGUCGGGUGAGGUCGCGGCGAAGGCCCUCGGCAAAGACGGGCGCUCCGCAGCUCUCUCCCCGCCCAGUGCGUCCGUAAGCCCCGGACCGGCUCCAGCUUCCAACCUGACAGGCCCUAACCGGCUCUCUGCGCUUACCGAUUGACGCCAUCUUGGAGUCCGGGGUGUCCGCUCUGCGGGGCCGCGCAAGGACUGCUGGGUAUGGCGCACGCGCCCCGGCGUGGGGUCGUGGAGAGCAGAGGCUCACGGGAAGCAGGUCGGGAGUGAGGCUCCGCUGGCGCUGCCAGUGCUCCGCGGGAUGAAGGGCAAAGUCUCUGGAGAGCAAAGCCCCCCCGGCCCCCUCAGCUGCGGGCGGAGGAGGGAGAGAAGGGCCCAGCCUAGCUCUCCAUCCCGGGAGGGAAUCCGAAAACGGGAAGUGGAAGGAAAAGAAUAUCCUGGCUUUCUUACUCUGUCACCUUGAGCAUAUCAGGAUCCUUCCUCCCAACUGGACUGGAUGGGGAGAUGAGCGCCGAUUCUUAAGGAAUUCCCAGUCACCAGGAAACGUGUUCACCCAGGUUUAAAUUACAAAGACAACAUCUGUGCCUCAGUUGUAUUUUAGCUCCAGGCCCAGAUAAGCAACAAAACCAGCCACGGCUGACAGCUGACCUCAGGACUAGCUGCUUUGAAUAAUGACUCCCUGCCCUGGUGCCAGCCAAUCAAUCAGUAGCGACCACGACCCUGAAAAGACACACCUGGAAAUCUGCUGAAUAUCCUAUUGAGAUCUUCCCCUGGGACCUCCCCUAAAAUACCCACCUUAACAUUCCUAGGGAGGACCCAGUGCUCUCUUCCUCCCCAGAGCACACCAUGCCUUUCCCUUUCCUUUUCCCCACCCCCUCCCUGCCCCAGGCACCUUACCAUUAGCUUCCUCACUUCCAGGCUCCAAGGACCCUUCUUUUGCCUCCACAACUUGUCUCCCUAAGUCUAUUCCAGGAAUUACUUUUUCUACCUCUUGAUUUACCAAAUAAAUGUCCUCCUACA